rnacentral:rRNA from 1 species
UACGUAGGGGGCAAGCGUUGUCCGGAAUCAUUGGGCGUAAAGAGCGUGUAGGCGGCCUGGUAAGUCAGCUGUGAAAGUCCAGGGCUCAACCCUGGAAUGGCGGUGGAAACUGUCAGGCUCGAGUCCGGAAGAGGCGAGUGGAAUUCCUGGUGUAGCGGUGAAAUGCGCAGAUAUCAGGAGGAACACCAAUGGCGAAGGCAGCUCGCUGGGACGGUACUGACGCUGAGACGCGAAAGCGUGGGGAGCAAACAGG